rnacentral:rRNA from 1 species
GACGAACGCUGGCGGCGUGCUUAACACAUGCAAGUCGAACGGAAAGGCCCUGCUUUUGUGGGGUGCUCGAGUGGCGAACGGGUGAGUAACACGUGAGUAACCUGCCCUUGACUUUGGGAUAACUUCAGGAAACUGGGGCUAAUACCGGAUAGGAGCUCCUGCUGCAUGGUGGGGGUUGGAAAGUUUCGGCGGUUGGGGAUGGACUCGCGGCUUAUCAGCUUGUUGGUGGGGUAGUGGCUUACCAAGGCUUUGACGGGUAGCCGGCCUGAGAGGGUGACCGGCCACAUUGGGACUGAGAUACGGCCCAGACUCCUACGGGAGGCAGCAGUGGGGAAUAUUGCACAACGGGCGGAAGCCUGAUGCAGCAACGCCGCGUGCGGGAUGACGGCCUUCGGGUUGUAAACCGCUUUCGCCUGUGACGAAGCGUGAGUGACGGUAAUGGGUAAGGAAGCACCGGCUAACUACGUG